ensembl:lincRNA
GCAUGCCACGCCGGCCCCCGCCGGUCCCGCUGCCGCAUUAACUCCUGCGUGUCCGGAGCCCCCGCCGCCUGACGCGCGCGGCCCAGAGGAGGGAGUUGGGUGGGGCCGAUGCUGGAGCCUGAGCUCUCCUUGUCGUUGGACCCCGGCUUGGCUGAGACAGCGAGGAGGGGGCCCUGCGCCCGAGCUGAGAGGCGGACUGGGCGACUCUGCUCAUUCUCCUUCUGACCGUCUUGCAGAGGCCAGGAGGACAGGAGGGAAAUGCGGCCGCUGUUAGCGGAUCGCUAGGACUCGUGGGCACCAGCGUGUAUCCGAGACCACAUUUUUGCUUGGCGGUGCUAUCCUCGAAAGUUUACAGUGGACUAGGGAAGGUGCGGGUGGGUUCGGGUUAGAAUUUGUCCACGGACACAAGCCCCUGUCACCCCAGUGAAUGGAGUGGAAUAGCCCCUGGGUUCUCGUGCCUCUCCAGCAUUCUGGAAGAGCCCGUCCUGUGCUGGGUAAAGAUCGGUCUCUCCAGACUGAGGGACGGAGGUGCAGAGUGUGUGAGGAAGCAGCUCAUCUACAGGCAGUUUGAGGCCUCUGGCUGCUCUAGAGCAGGAGCUCCCAGGAUCCACAGAUACCCCCGGAACACACAGAACCAGAAAGGCAGGGGGACCUACACUGCAGAGACAGAGCUGUGUGGAACGGCAGGGAGUCCCCAAAUUUAUCUUGGAUUAUAUCCUGGAGGAGGCAUUGCGGGUAAGAAUUCGUGUAGGAUGAAUCUGCUUCCGCCCAGAAACAAUGUGAUAGUGGAAAUAACGUUCCUCACCCAGGUCUCGGGACCCACCUCUUUAAAGGCAGACACAUCAACACCAUAUUUAAUCAAAGGUGAAUGGUACACCUGUCCUUUGUAUUUCCUGAAUUGAAACUGAGUAUCUAAUAGGGUAAUCAAAUCCCAUUCUGUGUAGCUUAACAUAUUCAAACGGUCCCUCAAGGAAAUGCCAUUUGGGAAAAGGGGAGUAUGGAAAAGACUGGGGAGUUUCUCCUCCCCCCGUAGAGGUAGAGGGAGGCUCUCAGAGGUCUGCAGCUGGGGGCAAGGGUUCUAUGCCCAUGGCACCCUGAACACAAACCAACCAGUGGCCUCCUGAGCAGCAUAGCUGGCCAGCUCCAAAGUGGACAUCUGUCAGGGAAGCGUGCCACAAGGACAUCGGAAGUGGGGGACCUCUGAGUGGGCUUGGAGUAGCUGAACUGGGGCGCCCCUUGGAAUUCUGAUAUAGAAAGGCUCUCUGGAGAGGACAUUCUUCAGGAGGUACCGCAAGUCAGGAAGAAUGCUAGGCCUCCGAAGGCGCUUGUCCCAGUUCCCAGGAAUCCUCCAUCCGGCCUGUGCUCCUCCUCCUGUCGCCCACAGCCUCUCGCGAGUACUUUGUCCCUGAGUGGUCAUCACCAGUUUCCCUGCUACGCCGAUGGUUUUGUGAUGCAAUUUGUUUCAUUAUUACUUUUGUUCCGGUUUCACGUAAACGUAGGCAUGAACACUUAAUCAUGGUGUUCCAGGUACCGUGUAUCUUUCCAGGAGGCAUUGCCAAACCUGGGUUUUGUUUUGUUUUGUUUUGUCCGAAAGCCCUCAAAUAAGAUGCACAUGAGGUAUAUCCAUGUUGAGAAUAAAAUAUUUUCUCAAAUCCAGACUUUAUACUUUGUAUGGCUUCUGUGGACUGCCUGCUUUUCCAACCAGACUUUAUUCAUUCCUGAACAUUUCAUUUCCAAAAUGGUUCACAGGGCAAGGAAACAGGGUCUCUGUGUCUCCUAAUCCUGUCCUCCUUUCUUUGCACUGUUUCUGACCCCUAUAUUUUCCUUCUUAUUUUCUCUCAGAAGAGAAGAGAUCAUUUCCCUCUGGUCUUACUUCCAAUAUCUGAAUUAAUUCCAACAUAAAUCUUAGGGCUUGUAGGGUUCUCCACAGAUCAUUCCUGAGAUUUGUCCCAGCAGCUCCCACCUAGGUCUGUUUUUGCCUUCUAUCUUCAGGGUUUCUUUGGGGGUGGGGGGGUCCCAGGGAUCGAACUCCGCUCCUUGUGUUUGUGAGACAGGCGGUGGAACCACUGAGCUAAAUCCCCGGCCCCUUAUUUUUGCCUUCUAAAUUGGUAUUUCAGAAACACUUUAGGGGUGUGAGUAGGUGACAGAUUCCUGAGCGUGGUGCCCCCCCCCAUGAGGCUCAAGCUACAUUGUUUCAAAAGCAGAUACUUUGUGUCAACUGACCAAAUUGUGGAAACACCAUGGUAGAUAUCGUAGCUCCUGCUUCUAUUGAGCCUGUCCAUCUGGCCUUCCCUAUUCCCAGCAUCUUCACCUUCCACAAAGUGGGCGGUCUUUUUCUUCACUCCACCCUCAUGGAGGAGAUAAUUUGAAGGGCCGCAGGAAGUUAUUUGCCUCUCUGAAGCGUUUUCCAACAGUAUAGAUCGCAUGAAUCAGAUCUCCCGUGCAGAUGAUGCCACAUUUACCAAGAGAUCGUGCAAUCGGCGAAGGAAACUUGCUUCUUAUGUAUAUGGCCAUAGCCACGCUUGUACAUUAGCACAUUUA